rfam:Asian citrus Psyllid, Diaphorina citri - Florida Strain, whole genome shotgun sequence.
GCCUCGGUAGCGUAGUGGUCAAGACGCUCGCCUGGUAAUCAGGAGGUCGUGGGUUCGAUCCCAGCCGAGGUA